GUGCAAAUGAUGUGAACGUUUUCUACCACUGAGUAAAGUGAUGUUUCCAAAGGAACCACUGAUGCAC
rnacentral:snoRNA from 1 species